AUCAUCAUUAAGGUGAACAGUCACUUGAUUUGUUUGGCGGGGAAGAAAAGAGGUCUUAAGAUUUUUUCCAAUUGAAUCGGAGAACAUGCUUCGAGUACUAUUUCUUGCGAGUGUGACUUUCGCAGUUGCUUGGAGUUCAUUUACUUACAAACCGUGCCAAGUGAGCACUGACGCAAUGAGACCAUGUCUUGGAGGUGAUGCCAGCUUUUUGAAUUGCAUGAUGGAAGGAUGUUGCUAC
rnacentral:lncRNA from 1 species